UACAGAGGUCUCAAGCGUUGUUCGGAUUCAUUGGGCGUAAAGGGUGCGUAGGCGGCGUGGUAAGUCGGAUGUGAAAUCUCGGAGCUUAACUCCGAAACUGCAUUCGAUACUGCCGUGCUUGAGGACUGGAGAGGAGACUGGAAUUUACGGUGUAGCGGUGAAAUGCGUAGAUAUCAGGAGGAACACCCGUAGCGAAGGCGGCACUCUGGGCCGAUUCUGACACUGAGGAGCGAAAGCGUGGGGAGCGAACAGG
rnacentral:rRNA from 1 species